rnacentral:rRNA from 1 species
GUGAACGCUGGCGGUAGGCCUAACACAUGCAAGUCGAACGGCAGCACAGUAAGAGCUUGCUCUUACGGGUGGCGAGUGGCGGACGGGUGAGGAAUACAUCGGAAUCUACUUUUUCGUGGGGGAUAACGUAGGGAAACUUACGCUAAUACCGCAUACGACCUACGGGUGAAAGCAGGGGAUCUUCGGACCUUGCGCGAUUGAAUGAGCCGAUGUCGGAUUAGCUAGUUGGCGGGGUAAAGGCCCACCAAGGCGACGAUCCGUAGCUGGUCUGAGAGGAUGAUCAGCCACACUGGAACUGAGACACGGUCCAGACUCCUACGGGAGGCAGCAGUGGGGAAUAUUGGACAAUGGGCGCAAGCCUGAUCCAGCCAUACCGCGUGGGUGAAGAAGGCCUUCGGGUUGUAAAGCCCUUUUGUUAGGAAAGAAAAGCAGCAGGUUAAUACCCCGCUGUUCUGACGGUACCCAAAGAAUAAGCACCGGCUAACUUCGUG